UAACAUAUAGCUAAUACUCGGAGUCCCCUUCUUACAUUACGGGUGAUGUAAAAGCGAUUUUAUGAUGUG